rnacentral:rRNA from 1 species
CAGUCGCCGCGGUAAUACGGAGGGUGCAAGCGUUAUCCGGAUUUAUUGGGUUUAAAGGGUCCGUAGGCGGACUUAUAAGUCAGUGGUGAAAGCCUGUCGCUUAACGAUAGAACUGCCAUUGAUACUGUAAGUCUUGAGUAUAUUUGAGGUAGCUGGAAUAAGUAGUGUAGCGGUGAAAUGCAUAGAUAUUACUUAGAACACCAAUUGCGAAGGCAGGUUACCAAGAUAUAACUGACGCUGAGGGACGAAAGCGUGGGUAGCGAACAGGAUUAGAUACCCCCGUGUCCCUGUCUCUUAUACA